GGGCUAUGAUUAAAUAAUUAUCCGCGCUUCUGAGAUUUUGUAGUCAAUGAAGCAUAAAGAUAAACAAAUAAUGGUUGAAUUUCUUGAUAUGAGCUA
rnacentral:snoRNA from 1 species